rnacentral:misc_RNA from 1 species
UUUCCGUAGGUGAACCUGCGGAAGGAUCAUUAUUGAAUGAAACACUUCUGGCUUUAUGCUGUUGUGCUGGCUCUUUGGGCAAUGUGCACACGGCUCUGGUCACUUGUUUCUUCUGUUCCACCUGUGCACUGCCUGUAGACACGCUGUGUCUAUGAUAUUUGUUAACACACAACAAUGUUAGUUGGCAUGUUAUAUAUAAUAAUAAAAUAUACAACUUUCAACAACGGAUCUCUUGGCUCUC